rnacentral:rRNA from 1 species
CCUACGGGUGGCUGCAGUGGGGAAUAUUGGACAAUGGGCGAAAGCCUGAUCCAGCCAUGCCGCGUGUGUGAAGAAGGCCUUCGGGUUGUAAAGCUCUUUCAGUGGGGAAGAAAGCCUUGGGGCUAAUACCCUCGAGGAAGGACAUCACCCACAGAAGAAGCACCGGCUAACUCCGUGCCAGCAGCCGCGGUAAUACGGAGGGUGCGAGCGUUAAUCGGAAUUACUGGGCGUAAAGCGCGCGUAGGCGGUCUGAUAAGCCGGUUGUGAAAGCCCCGGGCUCAACCUGGGAACGGCAUCCGGAACUGUCAGGCUAGAGUGCAGGAGAGGAAGGUAGAAUUCCCGGUGUAGCGGUGAAAUGCGUAGAGAUCGGGAGGAAUACCAGUGGCGAAGGCGGCCUUCUGGACUGACACUGACGCUGAGGUGCGAAAGCGUGGGUAGCAAACAGGAUUAGAUACCCCGGUAGUC